rnacentral:rRNA from 1 species
UCAGGAUGAACGCUAGCGGCGCGCUUAAUGAUGCAAGUCGAGCGAUGAGGCCUUUCGGGGGUACAUCAGCGGCAGACGGGUGAGUAACACGUGGGUGACCUACCCUAAAGACGGGGAUAACCCUCGGAAACGGGGGCUAAUACCGGAUAGCUACAGCGUACGGGGGUAUGUUGUAGAAAGCUACGGCGCUUUAGGAGGGGCCUGCGGCCCAUCAGCUAGUUGGUAGGGUAACGGCCUACCAAGGCAAAGACGGGUAGGGGGUGUGAGAGCACGGCCCCCCACAAUGGGACUGGAACACGGCCCAUACUCCUACGGGAGGCAGCAGCAGGGAAUAUUGCGCAAUGGGCGAAAGCCUGACGCAGCGACGCCGCGUGAGUGAAGACGGCUUUCGAGUUGUAAAACUCUUUUCUGGGGGAAGAGGAAGGACGGUACCCGAGGAAUAAGCGUCGGCUAACUACGUGCCAGCAGCCGCGGUAAGACGUAGGACGCGAGCGUUAUCCGGAUUUACUGGGCGUAAAGCGCCUGUAGGCGGCUUUGUAAGUUGGGCGUGAAAGCCCCGUGCUUAACGCGGGGAGGCCGUUCAAUACUGCGGAGCUAGAGUACGGCAGAGGGGAGUGGAAUUCCUGGAGUAGCGGUAAAAUGCGCAGAUAUCAGGAGGAACACCAGUGGCGAAGGCGGCUCCCUGGGCCGAGACUGACGCUCAGAGGCGAAAGCUAGGGGAGCGAACAGGAUUAGAGACCCUGGUAGUCCUAGCCCUAAACGAUGGAUGCUAGGUGUGGGGGCGAUGAGUUUCCGUGCCGGAGCAAACGCGAUAAGCAUCCCGCCUGGGGACUACGGCCGCAAGGUUAAAACUCAAACGAAUUGACGGGGGCCCGCACAAGCA